GGUCCCGUAGCUCAGUAGGAUAGAGCAACAGCCUUCUAAGCUGUGGGUCAGACGUUCGAGUCGUCUCGGGAUCGCCA
rnacentral:tRNA from 1 species